rnacentral:rRNA from 1 species
UACGUAGGUGACAAGCGUUGUCCGGAUUUACUGGGCGUAAAGAGCGCGCAGGCGGUCGUUCAAGUCGAGUGUGAAAGCCCCCGGCUCAACUGGGGAGGGUCAUUCGAUACUGAUCGACUCGAAGGCAGGAGAGGGAAGUGGAAUUCCCGGUGUAGUGGUGAAAUGCGUAGAUAUCGGGAGGAACACCUGUGGCGAAGGCGGCCCCCUGGUUGGAUACUGACGCUGAGACGCGAAAGCGUGGGGAGCAAACAGG